UUGGGAAAGAUGGCGAAUGCUAUCGGGGUUUCACGUGGGGAGGCAGAUUCCGCCGCCCCGGUAACGGCAGAACGUGAUAUCCUUGUCGACUCACGGAGGGACUUGCUCUGUUUAAGCUGGUUAACGGGCUAAGUCUGGGGCCCCUGAGGAGUAACGGAGGGAUCUGAAUGAAGCCCAGAUGUUCCAGAAAAUAACUUUAUAUUUGGUGCCCUGGAGAAUUUACAGAGAAGAUGGCAGUGAACAUAAAACCUUGGACACCAAGUUAAAGAUGCAUAAAACAUAGGCUGCUGCCAUGGUUCCAGCACUUAAUUAAAGGAUUUCCAAGGCUUGAUAAAAAGCGGGAGUGGGAAAUGAUGUGCAGAGUGAAGCCAGAUGUUACCAAAGGCAAAGAAAUGGAGAGAAGCCUUCAGAGAAUUGCCACGAGGUAAGAGUGUAUGUUUGUGCUCUUGAAAACAGAUCUAAAGGCAUGCCUGAGUAAUCUGUUUCUAAUCAAAUUGCACUCUUAAGAAGUGACUCAUGGGAGUCAAAUGAUUUAUACUUGGUUCUGUCUCAUACUAUAUCAGAUUCAACAAAAGAUUUCAGAAGUCUCA